UACGUAGGGUGCGAGCGUUAAUCGGAAUUACUGGGCGUAAAGCGUGCGCAGGCGGUUUUGUAAGACAGGCGUGAAAUCCCCGGGCUCAACCUGGGAACUGCGCUUGUGACUGCAAAGCUAGAGUACGGCAGAGGGGGGUGGAAUUCCACGUGUAGCAGUGAAAUGCGUAGAGAUGUGGAGGAACACCAAUGGCGAAGGCAGCCCCCUGGGUCGAUACUGACGCUCAUGCACGAAAGCGUGGGUAGCAAACAGG
rnacentral:rRNA from 1 species